rnacentral:rRNA from 1 species
GAUGAACGCUGGCGGCGUGCCUAACACAUGCAAGUCGAGCGAUUCUCUUCGGAGAAGAGCGGCGGACGGGUGAGUAACGCGUGGGUAACCUGCCCUGUACACACGGAUAACAUACCGAAAGGUAUGCUAAUACGAGAUAACAUGCUUUUAUCGCAUGGUAGAAGUAUCAAAGCUCCGGCGGUACAGGAUGGACCCGCGUCUGAUUAGCUAGUUGGUAAGGUAACGGCUUACCAAGGCGACGAUCAGUAGCCGACCUGAGAGGGUGAUCGGCCACAUUGGACCUGAGACACGGUCCAAACUCCUACGGGAGGCAGCAGUGGGGAAUAUUGCACAAUGGGCGAAAGCCUGAUGCAGCAACGCCGCGUGAGCGAUGAAGGCCUUCGGGUCGUAAAGCUCUGUCCUCAAGGAAGAUAAUGACGGUACUUGAGGAGGAAGCCCCGGCUAACUACGUGCCAGCCGCCGCCGUAA